GAAUUUUUUUAAAAAACUUUAUAUAUCAGGCAGAUGGUGGAAUUUCUGGAUAAGAAGUGUAUUCAAGGGUAAAAGACAUGACAUCCCCCGAUGUUAAAACCUACCGAAAAUGCUGUGAAGCACUUUGUUAAUUUCUCAUCAUAUAUAACUUCAGAAGGGGAGCAGAUGUGGCGGAGGCUAGGGUAGAGGACUACAAUUUGAGAUACAGACUAAGAGAAAAUGACCCAAUUUAUUUGGAUUUUAAGAAAGAAAAUCCAAAUUUCAAAGGAAGCAAUGAAGUCAUGUCGGUGAAAGG
rnacentral:misc_RNA from 1 species